AUUGAACGCUGGCGGCAUGCUUUACACAUGCAAGUCGAACGGCAGCGCGGGCUUCGGCCUGGCGGCGCGUGGCGAACGGGUGAGUAAUGCAUCGGAACGUGCCCAGUAGUGGGGGAUAGCCCGGCGAAAGCCGGAUUAAUACCGCAUACGACCUGCGGGUGAAAGCGGGGGACCGAAAGGCCUCGCGCUAUUGGAGCGGCCGAUGUCGGAUUAGCUAGUUGGUGGGGUAAAGGCUUACCAAGGCGACGAUCCGUAGCUGGUCUGAGAGGACGACCAGCCACACUGGGACUGAGACACGGCCCAGACUCCUACGGGAGGCAGCAGUGGGGAAUUUUGGACAAUGGGGGCAACCCUGAUCCAGCCAUGCCGCGUGCGGGAAGAAGGCCUUCGGGUUGUAAACCGCUUUUGUUCGGGAAGAAAUCCUCUGGGCUAAUACCCCGGGGGGAUGACGGUACCGGAAGAAUAAGCACCGGCUAACUACGUG
rnacentral:rRNA from 1 species